GACGAACGCUGGCGGCGUGCUUAACACAUGCAAGUCGAGCGGAAAGGCCUGCUUUCCCUUGUGGAUUGCGGGUACUCGAGUGGCGAACGGGUGAGUAACACGUGAGUGAUCUGCCCCCAACUUGGGUAUAAGCCUGGGAAACUGGGUCUAAUUCCCGAUAGGACUGCAGGGUGGUGCCUGUGGUGGAAAACGAUUUUCUAGUGGUUGGGGAUGAGCUCGCGGCCUAUCAGCUUGUUGGUGGGGUAAUGGCCUACCAAGGCGGCGACGGGUAGCCGGCCUGAGAGGGUGGACGGCCACAUUGGGACUGAGAUACGGCCCAGACUCCUACGGGAGGCAGCAGUGGGGAAUAUUGCACAAUGGGCGGAAGCCUGAUGCAGCGACGCCGCGUGGGGGAUGACGGCCUUCGGGUUGUAAACCCCUUUCGACCGCGAGGAAGCCACCUGGUUGGAAGGGUGGUGACGGUAGUGGUAGAAGAAGCACCGGCUAACUACGUG
rnacentral:rRNA from 1 species